rnacentral:rRNA from 1 species
AACGAACGCUGGCGGCAGGCAUAACACAUGCAAGUCGAACGCAUCCUUCGGGGUGAGUGGCAGACGGGUGAGUAACGCGUGGGAACGUGCCCUUCAGUUCGGGAUAACCCAGGGAAACUUGGGCUAAUACCGGAUACGUGCGAGAGCAGAAAGAUUUAUCGCUGAAGGAUCGGCCCGCGUCUGAUUAGCUAGUUGGUGGGGUAAUGGCCCACCAAGGCGACGAUCAGUAGCUGGUCUGAGAGGAUGAUAAGCCACAUUGGGACUGAGACACGGCCCAAACUCCUACGGGAGGCAGCAGUGGGGAAUAUUGGACAAUGGGCGCAAGCCUGAUCCAGCCAUGCCGCGUGAGUGAUGAAGGCCUUAGGGUUGUAAAGCUCUUUCGUCCGGGACGAUAAUGACGGUACCGGAAGAAGAAGCCCCGGCUAACUUCGUGCCAGCAGCCGCGGUAA